rnacentral:rRNA from 1 species
GGACGAACGCUGGCGGCGUGCUUAACACAUGCAAGUCGAGCGAUGAAGCUCCUUCGGGAGUGGAUUAGCGGCGGACGGGUGAGUAACACGUGGGUAACCUGCCUCAUAGAGGGGAAUAGCCUUUCGAAAGGAAGAUUAAUACCGCAUAUGGUAGCUUUAUCGCAUGGUAGUGCUAUUAAAGGAGUAAUCCGCUAUGAGAUGGACCCGCGUCGCAUUAGCUAGUUGGUGAGGUAACGGCUCACCAAGGCGACGAUGCGUAGCCGACCUGAGAGGGUGAUCGGCCUACAUUGGGACUGAGACACGGCCCAGACUCCUACGGGAGGCAGCAGUGGGGAAUAUUGCACAAUGGGGGAAACCCUUGAUGCAGCAACGCCGCGUGAGUGAUGACGGCCUUCGGGUUGUAAAACUCUGUCUUUGGGGACGAUAAUGACGGUACCCAAGGAGGAAGCCACGGCUAACUACGUGCCAGCAGCCGC